rnacentral:misc_RNA from 1 species
UCCGAGUUGACCCCGGCAGUCUCCUAUGAGUCCCCACCACCACGUGCUGGCAACAUAGGACGAGGGUUGCGCUCGUUGCGGGACUUAGCCCAACAUCUCACGACACGAGCUGACGACAGCCAUGCACCACCUGUACACGGCCCUUACGGACCCAACAUCUCUGCUGGAUUUCCGUGUAUGUCAAACCCAGGUAAGGUUCUUCGCGUUGCAUCGAAUUAAUCCGCAUGCUCCACCGCUUGUGCGGGCCCCCGUCAAUUCCUUUGAGUUUCAGUCUUGCGACCGUACUCCCCAGGCGGAGUGCUUAAUGUGUUGACUUCGGCACAGCAGGGGUCGAUACCCGCUACACCAAGCACUCAUCGUUUACGGCGUGGACUAC